rnacentral:rRNA from 1 species
AAAGCUCGUAGUUGGAUUUCUGUGGGGGCGGAGCGGCCGGCCGCAACUCGCGGUUCGAGCUAGCGCUUCCCCUACAUCCUGCCGCGAACCGUGCUACCAUUAGUUUGGUGGCGCCGGGGAUCGGCUCGUUUACUUUGAGAAAAAUAGAGUGUUCAAAGCAGGCCACACGCCUUGAAUAAGUUAGCAUGGAAUAAUAAUAAAGGACUUCGGUUCUAUUUUGUUGGUGUUCGGGACUGAAGUAAUGAUUGAUAGGGACAGUUGGGGCGGUCAGUAUUCCAAAGCGAGAGGUGAAGUUCUUAGACCUUCGGAAGACUAACAGCUGCGAAAGCGUUCCGCAAGGAUGUUCCCUUUGAUCAAGAACGAAAGUUGGGGGAUCGAAGACGAUCAGAUACCGUCGUAGUCUCAACUAUAAACUAUACCAGCUAGGGAUCGGCCAACGUUAAAUUAUCCGACUUGGUCGGCACCUUAUGAGAAAUCAAAGCAUCUGGGUUCCGGGGGGAGUAUGGUCGCAAGGCUGAAACUUAAAGGAAUUGACGGAAGGGCACCACCAGCCGUGGAGCCUGUGGCUUAAUUUGACUCAACACGGGAAAACUUACCAGGUCCAGACAUAGUAAGGAUUGACAGAUUGAUAGCUCUUUCUUGAUUCUGUGGGUGGUGGUGCAUGGCCGUUCUUAGUUGGUGGAGUGAUUUGUCUGGUUAAUUCCGUUAACGAACGAGACCCCAGCCUGCUAAAUAGCGCGGUUGAGCUUUGCUCGGCGCGAGCUUCUUAGAGGGACUAUGAUGCGCGAUAGCACAUGGAAGUUUGGGGCAAUAACAGGUCUGUGAUGCCCUUAGAUGUUCU